GUUUCUGUAGUGUAGCGGUUAUCACGUUUACCUAACACGCCAAAAGGUCCUCGGUUCGAAACCGAGCAGAAACA
rnacentral:tRNA from 1 species